rnacentral:sRNA from 1 species
GCCAGGUGCAGUGGCGCAUGCCUGUAAUCCUAGCAACUCUGGAGGCUGAAGCAGGAGAAUCAAAGCCAGCCUCAU